GUGGAGUAAGGUCAGGGGGUAAGGUCAGGGAGUAAGGUCAGGGGGUAAGGUCAGGGGGUAAGGUCAGGGGGUAAGGUCAGGGAGUAAGGUCAGGGGGUAAGGUCAGGGGGUAAGGUCAGGGGGUAAGGUUAGGGUUAAGGUUACGGGGUAAGGUUAAGGGGUAAGGUGGGGUAAGGUUAGGAGGUAAGGUGGGGUGAGGUUAGAAGGUAAGGUGGGGUGAGGUUAGAAGGUAAGGUGGGGUGAGGUUAGAAGGUAAGGUGGGGUGAGGUUAGAAGGUAAGGUAGGGUGAGGUUAGAAGGUAAGGUAGGGUGAGGUUAGAAGGUAAGGUAGGGUGAGGUUAGAAGGUAAGGUAGGGUGAGGUUAGGGGGUGAGGUGGGGUGAGGUUAGGGGGUAAGGUUAGAGGGUAAGGUGGGGUGAGGUUAGAGGGUAAGGUGGGGUAAGGUGGAGCUCAGCAGUAGAGAUGGAUCAUUAUGCCCAGGGAGAGGAGAGGAUAGAGAGGAGAGGAUAGAGAGGAUAGAGAAAGAGGAGAGGAUAGAUAGAGAGGAGAGGAUAGAGAGCCUCAAAGAACAUUGGUGGCUGGUAGGACUGGAGGAGGGAGAGAAUGUUGUAGCUAGUGUUGGUUCUCCUCAGGUCUGCAUGCUGCUUCGGUCUCUGGUGGGCAAUG